rnacentral:rRNA from 1 species
GAUGAACGCUGGCGGCGUGCCUAAUACAUGCAAGUCGAGCGAACAGACGAGGAGCUUGCUCCUCUGACGUUAGCGGCGGACGGGUGAGUAACACGUGGAUAACCUACCUAUAAGACUGGGAUAACUUCGGGAAACCGGAGCUAAUACCGGAUAAUAUAUUGAACCGCAUGGUUCAAUAGUGAAAGACGGUUUUGCUGUCACUUAUAGAGGGAUCCGCGCCGCAUUAGCAUGUUGGUAAGGUAACGGCUUACCAAGGCAACGAUGCGUAGCCGACCUGAGAGUGUGAUCGGCCACACUGGAACUGAGACACGGUCCAGACUCCUACGGGAGGCAGCAGUAGGGAAUCUUAAGCAAGGGGCGAGGGCGUGACGGAGCAACACCGCGUGAGUGAUGAAGGUCUUCGGAUCGUAGAACUCUGUUAUUAGGGAAGACGAAAAGUGUAAGUAACUAUGCACGUCUUGACGGUACCUGAAGAGAAAGCCACGGCUAACUACGUG